CCUACGGGAGGCAGCAGUGAGGAAUAUUGGUCAAUGGCCGGAAGCCUGAACCAGCCAAGCCGCGUGAGGUACGAAGGUGCCAAGCAUUGUAAACUUCUUUUGUCAGGGGACAACAUCAGGCUCGAGAGCCUGACCGAGGGUACUUGAAGAAAAAGCAUCGGCUAACUCCGUGCCAGCAGCCGCGGUAAUACGGAGGAUGCGAGCGUUAUCCGGAUUUAUUGGGGUUAAAGGGUGUGUAGGCGGACGGUUAAGUCAGCGGUAAAAGCCCGGGGCUCAACCCCGGCGAGCCGUUGAAACUGGGUGUCUUGAGAUGGCGAGAGGUAGGCGGAAUGCGCAGUGUAGCGGUGAAAUGCUUAGAUAUCGCGAAGAACUCCGAUUGCGAAGGCAGCAUACCGGCGGCGAUCUGACGCUGAGGCACGAAAGCGUGGGUAUCGAACAGGAUUAGAUACCCGGGUAGUC
rnacentral:rRNA from 1 species